rnacentral:rRNA from 1 species
UGGGGAAUCUUCCGCAAUGGGCGAAAGCCUGACGGAGCAACGCCGCGUGAGUGAUUAAGGCCUUCGGGUUGUAAAACUCUGUCAUCAGGGAAGAAAAUAAUGACGUACUGAG